rnacentral:rRNA from 1 species
CCCUUAGAUGUCCUGGGCCGCACGCGUGCUACACUGACGCCUACAGCGAGUACUUCCCAGCCCCGAGAGGCGGCUGGUAAUCAGCAAUAGGCGUCGUGAUGGGGAUAGAUCUUUGGAAUUCUGGAUCUUGAACGAGGAAUGCCUAGUAAGCGCAGGUCAUUAGCCUGCGCUGAUUACGUCCCUGCCCUUUGUACACACCGCCCGUCGCUCCUACCGAUUUCGAGUGGUCCGGUGAAUCUUUCGGACUGCGCACUGCUUGGUCUCCAGGCUUUGCAGCGGAAAGUUUAGUGAACCUUAUCACUUAGAGGAAGGAGAAGUCGUAACA